AAAUGAAAAACAUUUCCGUAAAAACGAAAUGAUGAUGAAAGUUCAACUGAAAAAUAAAGUGACGGGUCAGUAGAUUCAUAGAUCAGCAGUUCACAGGUGUAAAAAAGUAAAAAAUAUAAAAGUAUAAAAAAAUAUCAAAUAUAAAAGUAAAUCUGUGUGUGUGUGUGUGUCAGCUCAUUCUCAGCCGGUCAGUGGUGUGUCGUGUUCUCCUGUGGACGAGUCCCUCUUCCUGUCGUGUGCUCAGGAUGGACGGCUUUUGCUGUGGGAUACACGGAAACCCAAACCUGCCUCUCGUCUGGAAGUGGUGUCUCCGAGCUGCAGCCCCACCGCCGUCGCCUGGCAUCCUCACCAGAGCAGCUCCAUCGCAUACGGUGAUGAACUGGGUCGAGUGACUCUCAGGGAUCUGCAGACUUCUAACGGCGUGCGGACGAUAAACGCUCA